GCUGUGAUGAUUCUUUUUUGGCGUGUUAGACUGCUGAUGCAGAUGACGAGACACAGAAUCUGAGC
rnacentral:snoRNA from 1 species